rnacentral:rRNA from 1 species
GAGUUUGAUCAUGGCUCAGAUUGAACGCUGGCGGUAUGCUUAACACAUGCAAGUCGAACGGUAACAGGAGAGAGCUUGCUCUUUUGCUGACGAGUGGCGGACGGGUGAGUAAUGCGUAGGAAUCUGCCUAGUAGUGGGGGACAACGUGUGGAAACGCACGCUAAUACCGCAUACGCCCUACGGGGGAAAGCGGGGAGUCUUCGGACCUCGCGCUAUUAGAUGAGCCUACGUUAGAUUAGCUAGUUGGUGGGUAAAGGCCUACCAAGGCGACGAUCUAUAGCUGGUCUGAGAGGAUGAUCAGCCACACUGGGACUGAGACACGGCCCAGACUCCUACGGGAGGCAGCAGUGGGGAAUAUUGGACAAUGGGCGAAAGCCUGAUCCAGCAAUACCGCGUGUGUGAAGAAGGCCUGAGGGUUGUAAAGCACUUUCAAUUGUGAAGAAAUAUUUAAGGUUAAUAACCUUAAAUUUUGACGUUAACUUUAGAAGAAGCACCGGCUAACUCCGUGCCAGCAGCCGCGGU